AUUGAACGCUGGCGGCAGGCCUAACACAUGCAAGUCGAACGAGUGGCGGACGGGUGUGAUAUGUCUGGGACUCUGCCCGAUGGAGGGGGAUAACCAUUGGAAACGGUAGCUAAUACCGCAUACUAUCGUGUGUGCCCAGAGGGGUUUAGCUACUAGGUGGUGUAAUGGCUCACCGAGGCGACGAUCCCUAGUUGGUCUGAGAGGAUGACCAGCCACACUGGAACUGAGACACGGUCCAGACUCCUACGGGAGGCAGCAGUGGGGAAGAUUGCACAAUGGGCGCAAGCAUGAUGCAGCCAGUCCGCGUGUGUGAAGAAGGCCUUCGGGUUGUAAAGCACUUUCAGCGAGGAGGCGUUACUCGCAGAAGAAGCACCGGCUAACUCCGUGCCAGCCGCCGCGGUAAUAC
rnacentral:rRNA from 1 species